rnacentral:rRNA from 1 species
UACGUAGGGGGCAAGCGUUAUCCGGAAUGACUGGGCGUAAAGGGUGCGUAGGUGGUUUGAUAAGUUGGUAGCGUAAUUCCGAGGCUCAACCUCGGCGCUACUACCAAAACUGUCGGACUUGAGUGCAGAAGAGGGAAGUGGAAUUCCAUGUGUAGCGGUGAAAUGCGUAGAGAUAUGGAGGAACACCAGUGGCGAAGGCGGCUUCCUGGUCUGUAACUGACACUGAGGCGCGAAAGCGUGGGGAGCAAACAGG